rnacentral:rRNA from 1 species
GGGCGUAAAAGCGCAUGCAGGUGGUUUUGUUAAGUCAGAUGUGAAAGCCCGGGGCUCAAACCUCGGAAUUGCAUUUGAAACUGGCAGACUAGAGUACUGUAGAGGGGGUAGAAUUUCAGGUGUAGCGGUGAAAAUGCGUAGAGAUCUGAAGGAAUACCGGUGGCGAAGGCGGCCCCCUGGACAGAUACUGACACUCAGAUGCGAAAAGCGUGGGGAGCAAACAGGAUUAGAUACCCUGGUAG